GGACACAGAUACACACACAGAGAUACAUACUAACAGACACACGUACUGAAACAGACAUACACGCAUAUAGGCAUACAUACUGACACACACAUACUGAGACAUACACACAUAUAUAGACACACAGGCAUACAUAGUGACAGACACAUACUAACAUACAUACAGACACAUACAUAUUCAUAAUGACAUACAUUCAUAUAAAAUCUUUUUUUAUCUUGUUGGUGUUUGUGGAGAAGUCGCACUUCUU